rnacentral:rRNA from 1 species
CUGUCUGAAUAUGGGGGGACCAUCCUCCAAGGCUAAAUACUCCUGACUGACCGAUAGUGAACCAGUACCGUGAGGGAAAGGCGAAAAGAACCCCGGCGAGGGGAGUGAAAAAGAACCUGAAACCGUGUACGUACAAGCAGUGGGAGCACGCUUAGGCGUGUGACUGCGUACCUUUUGUAUAAUGGGUCAGCGACUUAUAUUCUGUAGCAAGGUUAACCGAAUAGGGGAGCCGAAGGGAAACCGAGUCUUAACUGGGCGUUAAGUUGCAGGGUAUAGACCCGAAACCCGGUGAUCUAGCCAUGGGCAGGUUGAAGGUUGGGUAACACUAACUGGAGGACUGAACCGACUAAUGUUGAAAAAUUAGCGGAUGACUUGUGGCUGGGGGUGAAAGGCCAAUCAAACCGGGAGAUAGCUGGUUCUCCCCGAAAGCUAUUUAGGUAGCGCCUCGUGAAUUCAUCUCCGGGGGUAGAGCACUGUUUCGGCAAGGGGGUCAUCCCGACUUACCAACCCGAUGCAAACUGCGAAUACCGGAGAAUGUUAUCACGGGAGACACACGGCGGGUGCUAACGUCCGUCGUGAAGAGGGAAACAACCCAGACCGCCAGCUAAGGUCCCAAAGUCAUGGUUAAGUGGGAAACGAUGUGGGAAGGCCCAGACAGCCAGGAUGUUGGCUUAGAAGCAGCCAUCAUUUAAAGAAAGCGUAAUAGCUCACUGGUCGAGUCGGCCUGCGCGGAAGAUGUAACGGGGCUAAACCAUGCACCGAAGCUGCGGCAGCGACGCUGAUGCGUUGUUGGGUAGGGGAGCGUUCUGUAAGCCUGCGAAGGUGUGCUGUGAGGCAUGCUGGAGGUAUCAGAAGUGCGAAUGCUGACAUAAGUAACGAUAAAGCGGGUGAAAAGCCCGCUCGCCGGAAGACCAAGGGUUCCUGUCCAACGUUAAUCGGGGCAGGGUGAGUCGACCCCUAAGGCGAGGCCGAAAGGCGUAGUCGAUGGGAAACAGGUUAAUAUUCCUGUACUUGGUGUUACUGCGAAGGGGGGACGGAGAAGGCUAUGUUGGCCGGGCGACGGUUGUCCCGGUUUAAGCGUGUAGGCUGGUUUUCCAGGCAAAUCCGGAAAAUCAAGGCUGAGGCGUGAUGACGAGGCACUACGGUGCUGAAGCAACAAAUGCCCUGCUUCCAGGAAAAGCCUCUAAGCAUCAGGUAACAUCAAAUCGUACCCCAAACCGACACAGGUGGUCAGGUAGAGAAUACCAAGGCGCUUGAGAGAACUCGGGUGAAGGAACUAGGCAAAAUGGUGCCGUAACUUCGGGAGAAGGCACGCUG